GAAGAGAGAGUUAAAGAGCACGUGAAAUCGGUAAGGUGGAAACGGAUAGAGUUGACGUAUAUGACUUGUAUUCAACCGUUGGAUUAUGAGUAACAAUGGGUUGUUUUGUGUUGGCCGGUUUAACGUGCGUCGUUUUCGGACGAUGUUUGCGUUGGGCUGGUUCGACGCGCAGUCCAUUGGUGUUUACGUUUUUUAGCGGUGCAUUUACGAGUCAAUGUGCGCUGGGACAUGCGCGUUUCGGUCGUCGAAAAAGUUUGGUGCAAGAGGUUACUUUUUAGUAUUUUGGAUUUAUUUUUAAAAUACGGAGUAAAACCGUGCCCCUUUUAGAGGCGAUUCGUCGUGCAUGUAGUACUAUGUUUUUUGGUUUUUUAAAGGAUGGCAUUUUAAAUAAAAUUAGGAUGCGAAUGCUUAAAUUUAAUUUGUAUUUGUUGACUGUACGCGUCGCAUGCGACUCGUAUAAUUAUUCAAAAAAAUAAAUACGAUUGUUUAGGCGUUUCACGUUUUCCUUUAUCCCGGUGUAAAAGUCAAUCAUCUAUCCGACCCGUCUUGAAACACGGACCAAGGAGUUUAACGUAUACGCGAGUCAUUGGGUGUUGAAAACCUAAAGGCGUAAUGAAAGUGAAUGUAUUCAAUGAAAUACGAAUAUGCGAUCCCAUAAAUUUCGAUUUAAGGGCGCAGCAUAGCCCCGUUUUUGUCGCAUGCGAUGGAGCGGAGGAAGAGCGUAUGCGUUGAGACCCGAAAGAUGGUGAACUAUGCCUGAGCAGGACGAAGCCAGAGGAAACUCUGGUGGAAGUCCGAAUCGGUUCUGACGUGCAAAUCGAUCGUCUGACUUGGGUAUAGGGGCGAAAGACUAAUCGAACUAUC
rnacentral:rRNA from 1 species